rnacentral:tRNA from 1 species
UAUGGGAUAGAAAAAUUGGUCAAUUCAUCGGGCUCAAGAUGCGAAGAUUACAUGUUCGAAUCUUGUCCCUGUCU